UACGGAGGGUGCAAGCGUUAUCCGGAUUCACUGGGUUUAAAGGGUGCGUAGGUGGGCAGGUAAGUCAGUGGUGAAAUCUCCGGGCUUAACCCGGAACUGCCGUUGAUACUAUUUGUCUUGAAUAUAGUGGAGGUGAGCGGAAUAUGUCAUGUAGCGGUGAAAUGCUUAGAUAUGACAUAGAACAUCGAUUGCGAAGGCAGCUCGCUACACUAUUAUU
rnacentral:rRNA from 1 species